rnacentral:rRNA from 1 species
UACGUAGGGUGCAAGCGUUAAUCGGAAUUACUGGGCGUAAAGCGUGCGUAGGCGGUUAUGCAAGACAGAUGUGAAAUCCCCGGGCUUAACCUGGGAACUGCAUUUGUGACUGCAUAGCUCGAGUACGGCAGAGGGGGAUGGAAUUCCGCGUGUAGCAGUGAAAUGCGUAGAUAUGCGGAGGAACACCGAUGGCGAAGGCAGUCCCCUGGGCCUGUACUGACGCUCAUGCACGAAAGCGUGGGGAGCAAAUAGG